rnacentral:rRNA from 1 species
GGUUAAGCGACUAAGCGUACACGGUGGAUGCCCUGGCAGUCAGAGGCGAUGAAGGGCGUGCUAAUCUGCGAUAAGCGCCGGUAAGGUGAUAUGAACCGUUAUAACCGGCGAUACCCGAAUGGGGAAACCCAGUGUGACUCGUCACACUAUCAUUAACUGAAUCCAUAGGUUAAUGAGGCGAACCGGGGGAACUGAAACAUCUAAGUACCCCGAGGAAAAGAAAUCAACCGAGAUUCCCCCAGUAGCGGCGAGCGAACGGGGAGGAGCCCAGAGCCUGAAUCAGCAUGUGUGUUAGUGGAAGCGUCUGGAAAGGCGCGCGAUACAGGGUGACAGCCCCGUACACAAAAGCGCAUGUGUUGUGAGCUCGAUGAGUAGGGCGGGACACGUGGUAUCCUGUCUGAAUAUGGGGGGACCAUCCUCCAAGGCUAAAUACUCCUGACUGACCGAUAGUGAACCAGUACCGUGAGGGAAAGGCGAAAAGAACCCCGGCGAGGGGAGUGAAAAAGAACCUGAAACCGUGUACGUACAAGCAGUGGGAGCACAGGUUUACCUGUGUGACUGCGUACCUUUUGUAUAAUGGGUCAGCGACUUAUAUUCUGUAGCAAGGUUAACCGAAUAGGGGAGCCGGAGGGAAACCGAGUCUUAAU